CAGAUGUGCCUGUGCAGCCAUCACCAUCUCAAGUCGGAAACUCUUCGUAUGAUGAUCGUGCAAGAUCGGAUUCCAGUCGUGGGUUUUCACAAGAUCGUGGUUACGUGGGAAACUCGUGGAAAGUCCCGCCUCGUGCCGCAGGACGCACUAUCACGUGGACAGAUUAUGACCCGAAUGUGAGCUUGGAUGAACAAAAGAAGCGAUUUAAAAAUCUACAUAAAGUUUUGAAAA